rfam:Phycomyces blakesleeanus NRRL 1555(-) unplaced genomic scaffold PHYBLscaffold_58, whole genome shotgun sequence.
AAAAAGAAAAAAAAACUAGCAAAUAUACUAUGUGUGGAAUAAUUGUACUUGGUGAGUACAAUAAUAAUAGCCAAGUUUGUAAACUUGGUAGAAUUGGCAAGGAAAUAAGACCUUGUUGAGCUUGACUUGGUAAAAAGACAUAAGGGGUACAGAUAAGUGGGAGCUUCGGCGCCAAUGAGAAACCACUCCUCUUAUUGUCUUUUCAGUGAAGAGGCGUGUUAGAUUAGGCUUCACGGUCAAUACCGUGAAGGUUCAAUCUGCAGGAUGAUGGCUGAACGCCUUUAGGCCAGAUUCUAUGCUGAACCAGAUCCACACGAGGGCGAGGCUGUUGCCAACGCCCCCGAAUGUAUUAUACUGUCUCUUGGGUGGAGAGACAAGGUUAUGGAUAUAGCUCUUCCAGGGCUUUCGAGUCCGGUCGUGGUUAUUACCCUAACCACCGCAUGCUCCGAACGUUGUAUCUAGGGCGCGUUUAUGGGGUAUGUGGUAUGGCUAUGAGGACACCUGUAGGGUCUCUACAGGAAGUAGGAGCCAUCAAGGACUAUAUGUCCUAGUAUAAUGCAUCCGAAGCCGGCCCGAGUGGUAUGACCAACGGCUUCAGUCUCAUCCCGGUGGAUCAAGGGAGUUUUUAGGGGAUACCCCACUACCUGGUACCUCUCUUUAGUAGAGCGACUUGGUGUCGAACCGUUUGACCGUAUGGACACGGGCACUUUGUCCGUGUUGGCGACGGCUCAAAUCUGCUACCAGUAGGAGCGGUAGAGAGAGGAAUCCGGACGGUACGGCUCACCACCGUACCUGAAGGGGGAACUGUGGUCACGAUUUUCUUCCUGGCCUUUGUGCCGAAAAAAAGAAAAAAACUAGCAAAUAUACUAUGUGUGGAAUAAUUGUACUUGGUGAGUACAAUAAUAAUAGCCAAGUUUGUAAACUUGGUAGAAUUGGCAAGGAAAUAAGACCUUGUUGAGCUUGACUUGGUAAAAAGACAUAAGGGGUACAGAUAAGUGGGAGCUUCGGCGCCAAUGAGAAACCACUGCUCUUAUUGCUCUUUAACCAUAGUAUGGGAUUAGGCUUUACAGUAAAUGCUGUGAAGCCCCCAUUGGUUGGGAAAUGGCUAAACAACCAUAAGCCAGAGCUGAUGCUGGAAACCAUACUAUAUGUGUUGCUCAUACACUAUAUGAGUAUAAAUAUGCUUUUGAGCUGAAAAGCAUAUUGUGUCUUUGUUCGUAUCCGCUGAAAGGCGAGUACCUUCAGAGCUACAUAGUAAUGCUAGUAUGGAGUAUUGAUAUAUUACAUGCAAGCAGCGUGUAACUGACGGGGUAUUGUAAGUGUUCGAGUGACUUUUGUUGCUACGAAGUACUGAGAUUAAGCCCUUGUCCUUGAAUUUGU